UUCGGGACUUUUUCACCACGGGCCGAAGAAACCUUGAACCCAUUCAGAGUCAGCACCUGCUCCUUCCUUCCACCAGCCCCUGGCAAUCGCCAGCCCACUUCCGUUUCUCUGGAUUUGCCCAUUCUGGACACCUGUUGUGAGGAGAAUCGUACAGUGCGUGACCUUCGGUGCUGACAUCUUUCACGUCCAAGGAGAGUGGAAUCUCACAGCCACACCUGCAAAUACCUCCAUCUGAAGUGGCAUCGUUUGCAAGUCAUUCUUUCUAUAAAGGCGACCGUUAGUGGAAGAAGUGGUUCUGCAGGUUCAUAGCUCAGAGGCACCAGUGCUCUCUCAAGAUAACCAUAAAAUCCGCAGAAGACGCACCUGUGCACACUUCCUGUUUCUCACUCAGAACAUUCCAGAAGGAACCCUGAAUCCCGAUGCCGCAGUGGGACUGAAGUUUGCUCUCACCCACACAAUAAACCCAGCGAACUCCCCCAGCCCCCACCCGAGGCCACAGCCUUGGUCCUCUGUCUGGUCUAGGAGGGCUCCUGCAGCUCCAGCCUAACAGGGAAAAGCAGGCACCCACAUGUCAGAAAGCCCUCCCAAAGCCCGGCGAGCACUUCUGCUUAUGUGCCAGCUAAGUGCGUUUGAGACGGAUACAACCAGCUGUACGGCAGGCAGCGAGGUACCCAGCAAAUACUCAGGGUUCAUGUUACUGAGGAAGGAAGGUGAACAGCGAGAUACCCAGCAAGUACUCAGGGCUCACGUUAUGGAUGAGGAAGCCAGGCAGAUAAUGAGGUACCCAGCAGGGUUCACGUUUCCGAGGAGGAAAGGAGGGUGAAGACAAGGGGGAUGGAACAGCCUGUCAUAAGCUUUAGCAUUUACAAGGCUCACUGAAGAUUAUCCGAUUUGAUCUUAACAGCUCACAAGAUAGGCAGAGGCACGGCUCUUUCACUUCAUAAAGAGAUCCCGAGAACUGAUGAUGACCACGUGCUCUUCCCACAGGCUCCCAGAAAUCAUUCUCAAAUCAUCUCUCAGUUGUAUACAUGUGAUAGUAUCUCAGUCACGUCCCCUCUCUGCAGGGGAAUUUUAAUGCCGCCCUGCUGUUGCUUCGCACCCCUGCCCUCUCCUGCAUUUCAGCCAUGCCCACCAUCCAUGGGGAGUCUGCAACACCCCACCCCCGCUGCUGCUGAGGGCUUGGAUCACCCUUAUCUUUCAUUUCCACCUACAGGGACCUGUUCUUCCUUCAAAUGCAGCUCAAACUCUCUCAUUGUGUGAAGCCUUUUCCAGCCAUCACAACCGUCAUGUGUAAAAUCAGUCUGUGGAAUGCUUCAUUCAGGAGGUACUUAUGUUGACUCAUCGGCUGUGAUCAGGACCAAAUUCUGAGCAAACCAGGUGGUCCCCGCUCCCCAGCUCUGCUCCAGUGCACUUAAAACAAGGAUUCCUGGAAGCACCUUUUUAGCCCAAUUCACGCAUGAGUCUGCCCCACACCCUGCAGAAAAGCCCUGGUGGUCGGCGGUCAGGGCUCGGGGCCCCCAGGUGGGUAAGGAGAGCUUAGUGCCCUCUCUGGACUUGUCGCUCAGAGACCCGUGGCUGGAAGGGAAGAACUUGAAUCCUGUGAAACAUCCAGGCCCCGAGACCCACUCAGGAGCAGAAAAUGGGGAAAGAGCCUCGAACACACCCACGGGAGGGCAGACAGCAGGAGCCACGGAGGCCACCAGGAGGGAGGGAGGCAGGCAGUGAGGCCAGAGGUGAUGUGGCCAGGAGGGAGUUGAUGUCGCCAGAGGUGACGUGCUGUGGGGAGGAGAUGUGGCCAGAGGCAACGUGGCCAGGGAAGGAGACACGGCUGGAAGUGACAAGAGGGGUCUCCAGGCCUCAGAUUGUGCCUCAUUUUUAGAUGACAUUUUAAUUAAGAUGUUAUAUCUAACUUUAACGAAAAAUAGCAAUUUAGAACCAUUGUGUACAUUUAAAGCACGAUACAAAUAGACCACAUUUCCCAAACCAAAGAACAGUGCAUUAAAGGAAAAAAUAGCAGCUCACCAAAAAAAAAAAAAAAAAAAAAAAAAAAGGUGAGUAAAAAAAAAAUUUAUUUAAGAUCAGAAAUAAAGAGAUCCUACAGCUCUUCUAGUCCAAUCCCCACCCUAACGUGAAUGGGGGGAAAAAGAAAGUAGAUCCUAGUCAGUCAGAAUUAAAGACAAAACCGAUCCAAUUUACCUUCCACUUGACAGAAAACAAGAAGCUCAUCAAGGAAUCCCUACAAACAGUAGCUUUAGUAGUUCCCAAAAUGCAAAAUUCACCUACAAAUUAAAUCAACUGCUAAGUGUG